UCAUUAAAACCUGAGUUGUUGAUGUGUCAAAGUGAAAAUGAUUUCCGCGAUUUUAGUGAUUUCUAAUUGAAAACGAGACGAAAACAUUGAAAUGCGACUUAAAAAAGGUAACAUGGAUGAUACCAAUAGUCCAGUUAUAAUCUAUUCAAGCAACAAUAAAAAAAAUUGAAUGAUCUGUUUCGUUCAAAAUGUUUAAAGACACAAAAUCAGUAUCUUGACGAGAUUUCUUCUAUGACCGGACCAUGUUAUUCGUGUUGAAGAUAGUAUAAAAAACGAAAUGUAAUAACUGCAGAAAUGGAAGGGUUCAUAAUAAGAGUCAGAGAUAGUGAUAGUGAUUCUUACUAUUCACUCGCGGUUGAAUUUUUACAUUUGAUAUGAUUAUAUUGAUUAAACAAACUUUAAUUGUA